rnacentral:rRNA from 1 species
GACGAACGCUGGCGGCGUGCUUAACACAUGCAAGUCGAACGGAAAGGCCUGCAGCUUGCUGCGGGUACUCGAGUGGCGAACGGGUGAGUAACACGUGGGUGAUCUGCCUUGCACUUCGGGAUAAGCUUGGGAAACUGGGUCUAAUACCGGAUAGGACAGCUGUUUAGUGUCAGUUGUGGAAAGUUUUUUCGGUGCAAGAUGAGCUCGCGGCCUAUCAGCUUGUUGGUGGGGUAAUGGCCUACCAAGGCGUCGACGGGUAGCCGGCCUGAGAGGGUGUACGGCCACAUUGGGACUGAGAUACGGCCCAGACUCCUACGGGAGGCAGCAGUGGGGAAUAUUGCACAAUGGGCGGAAGCCUGAUGCAGCGACGCCGCGUGGGGGAUGAAGGCCUUCGGGUUGUAAACUCCUUUCGACAGGGACGAAGCGUAAGUGACGGUACCUGUAUAAGAAGCACCGGCUAACUACGUGCCAGCAGCCGCGGUAAUACGUAGGGUGCGAGCGUUGUCCGGAAUUACUGGGCGUAAAGAGCUCGUAGGUGGUUUGUCGCGUCGUCUGUGAAAUUCCGGGGCUUAACUCCGGGCGUGCAGGCGAUACGGGCUGACUUGAGUGCUGUAGGGGAGACUGGAAUUCCUGGUGUAGCGGUGAAAUGCGCAGAUAUCAGGAGGAACACCGAUGGCGAAGGCAGGUCUCUGGGCAGUAACUGACGCUGAGGAGCGAAAGCAUGGGUAGCGAACAGGAUUAGAUACCCUGGUAGUCCAUGCCGUAAACGGUGGGCGCUAGGUGUAGGGGGCUUCCACGUCUUCUGUGCCGUAGCUAACGCAUUAAGCGCCCCGCCUGGGGAGUACGGGCGCAAGGCUA